rnacentral:tRNA from 1 species
GGGAAAACAGAGGCAAACACGGCUGGACAGCGUAUUUGAGGACUCAUAAUCCUUUGGUCGUUGGUUCAAGUCCAACACGCCCUACCA